AACGAACGCUGGCGGCAUGCCUAACACAUGCAAGUCGAACGAGACCUUCGGGUCUAGUGGCGCACGGGUGCGUAACGCGUGGGAACCUGCCCUUAGGUUCGGAAUAACUCCCCGAAAGGGGUGCUAAUACCGGAUAAUGUCUUCGGACCAAAGAUUUAUCGCCUUUGGAUGGGCCCGCGUUGGAUUGGCCAGUUGGUAGGGUAAAAGCCUACCAAGGCGACGAUCCAUAGCUGGUCUGAGAGGAUGAUCAGCCACACUGGGACUGAGACACGGCCCAGACUCCUACGGGAGGCAGCAGUGGGGAAUAUUGGACAAUGGGCGAAAGCCUGAUCCAGCAAUGCCGCGUGAGUGAUGAAGGCCUUAGGGUUGUAAAGCUCUUUUACCCGGGAUGAUAAUGACAGUACCGGGAGAAUAAGCUCCGGCUAACUCCGUG
rnacentral:rRNA from 1 species